rnacentral:rRNA from 1 species
CUUUCUUUGCUGGCGACCGGCGCCCGGGUGAGUAACACGUAUCCAACCUGCCCUUUACUCGGGGAUAGCCUUUCGAAAGAAAGAUUAAUACCCGAUAGCAUAAUGAUUCCGCAUGGUUUCAUUAUUAAAGGAUUCCGGUAAAGGAUGGGGAUGCGUUCCAUUAGGUUGUUGGUGAGGUAACGGCUCACCAAGCCUUCGAUGGAUGGGGGUUCUGAGAGGAAGGUCCCCCACAUUGGAACUGAGACACGGUCCAA